rnacentral:misc_RNA from 1 species
GUGAAUCAUCGAAUCUUUGAACGCAAAUUGCGCUUCCUGGCAUCCCGGGAAGUAUGCCUGUUUGAGGGUCAGUAAUAACAACAAAAUCGGUUUGUUUGCAAAUUGUGACUUUUCCGGAGUUUGGGCUAUCUUAACUUUUUUCGUUAUGGGUCGUAAAAUUGACCUUUUUAGUGCAUUUCUACACGUACAUAAAUUUUUUUUUUAUUC